CACUGUUGUAUUUACAGAAGUUGUAUGAGAAUAAGCUACAGGUUGAUUUAUACUAAUCUGUUAUUUUUCUUUUUUAGCACGACUGACUGAAGUUUUAAAAUCAUGCAACGUCAUAAAGCAGCAGCUGGGCCUGAUUCUCACAAAACCAAAACAGACGUGAUGAAAUUCCAGAUGUAAACACAUUUGACCUUCCUUUGGCCAAUUUGAUUUGGAAAAGCUUGAAAAUCAACUGAAGGAGCAGCCUGAACAAAUGAAGAAACUGAUGGAGUGAGGACAAAUGUCCAUACCACACCACUGAUAAGGAAAUGGAAAAAUGCAUUACAAGGUAGCUACAACUUGCCCCUGACAGGGAUGGAGGAAGAAAGAAGAGAAAGCUAAUGUGUCAAAUGUCUACAUCACUAUUUUGUUUUAUUUUUUAAACAACAUUUUAAGUGUAUUAGGAUGUUCCCUGAUACUUGAACAAUUUGUUUCUUUCAUUUGCAUUUAUAUAUAUAUAUAUAUAUAUAUAUAUAUAUAUAUAUAUAUAUAUAUAUAUAUAUAUAUAUAUAUAUAUAUAUAUAUGUAUAUAUAUAUAUAUAUAUAUAUAUAUAUGUAUAUAUGUAUAUGUAUAUAUAUGUGUGUGUGUGUAUGUGUGUGUGUAUAUAUGUAUGGUAUGUAUGUAUGUAUGUAUGUGUGUGCGCCAAAUUCUGAAGAAACAUCUUGAUACAUUUUUAAUAAACGUAAUACAAAUAAAAUUAUAAAUAUAAAAUUGCACAAGACGUGUAUAUAUAUGAAAUGUAUAAUCAUCUCACUCAUGUCUUGCUGUGUGCAAUUGAUUUUGUUCAAGUUUAUUUAAAAAAAAGUUUGACUUUAAACUUAUGCAAUUAUAUUUAUAUAUAUAAAAUAUAUAUAUAUUUGUUUGUUUAUUAUUAUUUUAAUGUUUUAUUAAAAAUGUUUCAAGAUGUUUCUUCAGAAUUCUGCAGUACUUUUUACAAGUUUGACUUGGAUAUUUUACGGAUUGUCAUUGGUAUUUUUAAGAUGUUUCUUGCUAUAUCUUAAAUUGGUUUCUAUAUUUAGGUU
ensembl:processed_transcript